UACGUAGGGGGCAAGCGUUGUCCGGAUUUAUUGGGCGUAAAGAGCGUGUAGGCGGCUAGGUAGGUGGGUUGUGAAAACUGGAGGCUCAACCUUCAGACGUCGACCCAAACCCCCUGGCUAGAGUCCGGAAGAGGAGAGUGGAAUUCCUGGUGUAGCGGUGAAAUGCGCAGAUAUCAAGAGGAACACCUGAGGUGAAGACGGGUUGCUGGGCUGACACUGACGCUGAGGCGCGAAAGCUAGGGUAGCAAACGGG
rnacentral:rRNA from 1 species